rnacentral:lncRNA from 1 species
AAACAGAACUUAUCUUCUGUUAGAGGCCACACUACAUGUGUACUCAUAAGCUUCGGAUAUAACCAAAAAAAUCUGUCGCGCAAAUUUCCAUUCAGCUCCACAAUGAACUUUUGAAAACUGAAGUGCUCUGGUAAAUUCUACUCUCUACACUCGUCUUCUAUAAAUAACUAUCGUUCUCCAUAUUCCACAAGCAAUCAUCUAAAAU